rnacentral:rRNA from 1 species
CCUACGUGAUGCUGCAGUGAGGAAUAUUGGUCAAUGGGCGCGAGCCUGAACCAGCCAAGUAGCGUGACGGAUGACUGCCCUACGGGUUGUAAACUUCUUUUAUCAAGGAAUAAAGUGAUGCACGUGUGCCUUUUUGUAUGUACUUUAUGCAUAAGGCUCGGCUAACUCCCUGCCCGCAGCCACGGUAAUACGGAGGAUCCGGGCGUUUUCCGGAAUUUUUGGGUUUAAAGGGAGCGUGGAGGGGUUGUUAAGUCAGUUGUGAAAGUUUGCGGCUCAACCGUAAAAGUGCAAUUGAUACUGGCAGUCUUGAGUACAGUUGAGGUAGGCGGAAUUCGUGGUGUAGCGGUGAAAUGCUUAGAUAUCACGAAGAACUCCGAUUGCGAAGGCAGCUUACUAAACUGCAACUGACAUUGAUGCUCGAAAGUGUGGGUAUCAAACAGGAUUAGAUACCCUUGUAGUC